UGAGGCUGGGCGUGUGUGGCCGAAGAUCGUGUAUGGUGGAGAUGAUGUGUCACUCAGUGAAACAAAAACAAAAAAACAACGCUGGUUUAUCAUUAUGAUUUUAGCCUUAUAUGUUAAUGAUACAGCUCGCGUGUUGUUGGUACUAAAAUACAUGCAAAUACUUACAAAAACCUAAUUGUUUAAGUCAUUUAUGAAGAAAAAUGUCUAAUACUAAAACGGGAAUAUGUGCUGCCCUGUAAUGUUUACUAUUUAAAUUACUAUUUUCUAGAAUUUUAAAGACAAAAUAAGGAAUGGAAAGUAUUGUUUGGUAAUAAUCGAGACACAUUGCUGUACCACGAAAAAGGCCCAGAGUGAGAGGUCUUUCCGUGUUGGUCAUCUUUGGUAAGACGGAAGAUGCUGUUACAUCAUCGGGGUCUGCGUGGCCCUCUGUCGAGUCAACCAGCAGAGUUCAGUGGUUCCCAGCAGCAUCAAACACACCCGGACUCCGUAUGUACGGUGUGUACAUGCACCGCAGCAGGAGGACUGCUGUUAAUACUAAUGUGGGAACUAUGGAAGAGUCUUCAGAUUUGCAGCGUCAGUGGAGGACAUCUUUGAAGAAGGAACAUCUCCUCUGGCAGACGUCCUCAGCAGUGGACUGAAAGUCUGUCAGAGAACAGCUCUGAGUGCGGACGGUCCGGUGGAGCAGCGGCAUCGAAAGCGAUUCGCAAAGCACCUGCUACCAUGUAGCAGUGGGUUCAAUUCCUGUGAGACCCCGUCACCUGGAACGCGAUUCCCACGGAAGUGGAUGAGGGCUGUGACUUCCUCUGCCCCCUAAGAGACCUGUAAGCAGAGGGUUAUAACUCCACCCAGCUGAGGUUUUACAAACUGUUGCAGAAAUGGGAUUGAAUGUUGCUUCUUGUUGCAGCAGCCAAAGUAAAAAGAUAAAAGCGCCCGGAGAAGAUGUUCUAGUGUGAAGGGAGCAUGGUGGCGCAGUGUGCAUGGGAGCGGCCAGAAUGCAGAAGUGUCUGGUUCGAGGCUCGCUCGGCGCCGGAUGCCAGGUUCCUGGAGCCUCACCCCGCUGCAGAGGGAGAGGAGGGGGCCGUGUCCCCUCCCAGGCUUCCAGAGAGGCCGUGUCAACAGCAGUCCUCCUGUAACUCUGGACAUCAGCCUUCAACCUCUCGGGUCCUCUACCAGAGGCCUGGGAGUUUGAGGGUUCUGUUCAGUAUCUAAGCUGUUCCUAGGACUGCGCUCUUCUGGACUGAGGCUUCUGAUGUUGUUCCUGGGAUCUGUUGGAGCCACUCCCCCAGUUUUGGGGGUCACUGCCCCGAGUACUCCUACUACCACAUCUGCUCCAGCUGUUCUUUCAACCCUUGAUCAGCCAAGAACCGGCAGACACCGUUGUCCACUUCUUGGCUCAAGGGACUCGAGUGUUUGUGAACUACUAAAGAGUCUUCAGGGCCACCGUAGAAGACAGACUCUAUUCUCUGGCAAACAGCCUGGUCCUGCAUCAGAGGAGUUUGUUAAAACAAGUUGAGAGUGUCACAAAGCGCAGCCGGAGCUCCGAGGAACCAAAGCAGAGCACAUUAAGUGAAAUACCUGGCUUUUCUUCUUCUCUGGAUUUACUGGCGGAUCACAAACAACCUCCAGGUGCACGUCGCCACCUACGGCACAGGAGUGUGUAGCAGCCCCACAAGCAUUAGAGGCUGCCCUAGUCAUACCUGAUUGGGAAAUUUGGUACACGUUUCACACUUUACACACGCUGGUAAAUAUCUGUUCUGGAUUCAUGAAUGAGUUAGAGAAACAGAGUGUUGUCAACACUUGCAAGAGGAUCUUCAGCAAAAAGACAAUGUCAGGUUCAAAAGCCUUCCCUAGAAGCCCAAAUAUGUAAUUUAGUGUUGGAUGUGUAAAGUGAAUGAAUGAAUAGGAGUCGACUAUUAUGGACAUCAGAUCAAUGCAUUAAAAAAAAGGUUUAUUUUACCAAACAAUGUUCCCAGUGUCAUCCAAACUGUUUAACUUUAGGAGUUAGCAGGAGGACUCACAUUCAUCUUGUUCAUGUUAAACAAGGAUAAAUAAAGUUCUCAGUUAAAGACAGUUUGAGUUGAAAAAGCCAGAAACACUCAAUCCUCUGAACAAAGUUUAUUUCCCCCCCAAAAAACAAAAAGAAAACAAAAGAAUUAGAAUGAGUAAUCUUAAGGAUAAACUAAAGCCUUAUAGGGUCAGUCAGUUGAACAGUUGUUGCUGUUAUUGUCAGAGGAAUCAUCUUUAUAUAGAAGCAAUGUUCGAUGUCUCUUUGGUCUCGGGAGGGGGACACGGCCCCCCAAUAUGAAUUGUAUGUUGUUUUGUAAUUAUUCAAGUAAUACAUAUUCAAUAGAAGCUCAUUUUUACUCUGGGACUAUUAUACCGAAAGAUUCAAUAGCAGCUGCUGAUGAAAUAUCGGUAAAUAUCAGCUCUUUCAUCUUCUUACUUCGGUUGCUGGACCACAAAACCCACUUAGCCUUUAAGGGAAUCAAACACAUGACUUCAGAGCUCCACCUGAGUCCUCUAACCCACUGCGCCACCGAGCACCACAGCUGCUUAUCUCACUGAGCUGUUGUUCAAGGAUCAAGUUCACGCUCAUGUAUCCUGACAUUUGUGAAGGUUUCCCCUCAGUGACGUGUUACACCUGCACUCUUCAUAUCACAUUAAACACAUUAUUAUUCCCAAACUUAAGUAACAUCCGGUUGGAUAGACGUCAGGGUUUAGAGCCACAAGGUUGGUAGUUCAAUCCCCGAUUCUACCUCUCCACACAGACUGUUACUGAUACAGUAAACUCCACGAGUACAGUCGGAUUAAAACCCAGACUUUGGAGACGCUAAAUAUUACAUCAUUCUCCUGAUUAACAAAGUGAGUGUGUCUUUAAGAAGCUGAACUCUUUAUAAUACUAAUAUUAUAAUAAUAAUAAAAGCAGUGAUUGGAUGAAUUUGGGGCAGAUUAUUUCCUGUUUAGGGAACUUGACAUUUAUUUGGUUUAAUGCAGAGUGCCCUCCAGUGGUCACAGAGAAGAACUGCAACACUGUACACCAGUUAACAUGAGUUAAUAUGAAAGCAGUUCACUGGUGUUAUUGAAUUGCUAUUUAUUUAUUUAUAUAUUAGAUACUACUAUUAGACAGUACUACUACAAACAGGCCAUCAUCCAACACAAUUCAACAGAAUCACAUGACCUUAAUACUGAUACAGAUUAUCAGCAAAGAGCUUAAUUCCUAAUCGAUCAUUCCGUUCACAAUCAAUCAAUCAAUCAAUCAAUCACACUCUCUGUCUCUCUCUCUCUCUCUAAUUAAUCUUCUGCUUUGUUGCACCAAAUGUAAAAAUUAAUUUCCAAAUUUGUAGCUGAUACAUUUUGAACAUUUAGCUGAUUUGAUGCGUGGAACAUGUCAAGAAUGGAAAUCUACUAAUAUAUAAAUAUAAAUAAUUGUUGAUUAUUGACGAACGUUCAUGUAACUCAUAACUCCUGACACUACUAUAUCAUUCAUUAUAAAGACAAUAUACACACAUUAGUAUGACUUACAUGUGUGUCUGCAAACUAUAAAGGACUAAUGUAAGGCACAAGAAGGUGUGCCACAAGCAAUAUAUGUGAAACAAUACAGCAAAGAGUGAGAUUCUUCAUUGAUAAAGUCAUUACAUUCCUAAUCCCUGAGCUGAGAGAACAUAUACAGGAGUAACGGAAGAUAGCCUGAAGGUCCAGCAGCUGGACCCAGACUUUCUUUCAUUUCUGGGAAAACAACCAAAGGAAGUUUAGAUAAUUCUUUAAGAUGUAAACUUUACUAAACAGCCUGGUCCUGCAUGAGAAGAGUGCAGCAGGUUUGCUUUGUUUUGUUUUUUGUUUACUGCUACUGCAAUUAAGAUUAUAUGAAAGUGAAUGAAUAUGAAAUCAGUACAAUUAAAGGAAUAAUUGUCA